UGUUCCGCCUGGGGAGUACGGUCGCAAGAUUAAAACUCAAAGGAAUAGACGGGGACCCGCACAAGUGGUGGAGCAUGUGGUUUAAUUCGAAGAUACGCGAAGAACCUUACCAGCCCUUGACAUCCUGGGAACUUUGUAGAGAUACAUUGGUGCCUUCGGGAAUCCAGUGACAGGUGCUGCAUGGCUGUCGUCAGCUCGUGUCGUGAGAUGUUGGGUUAAGUCCCGCAACGAGCGCAACCCUUGUCCUUAGUUGCCAGCACAUAAUGGUGGGAACUUUAAGGAGACUGCCGGUGAUAAACCGGAGGAAGGUGGGGAUGACGUCAAGUCAUCAUGGCCCUUAUGGGCUGGGCUACACACGUGCUACAAUGGUCGGUACAGAGGGUCGCGAACCCGCGAGGGGAAGCCAAUCCCAGAAAGCCGAUCUUAGUCCAGAUCGCAGUCUGCAACUCGACUGCGUGAAGUCGGAAUCGCUAGUAAUCGCGAAUCAGCAAUGUCGCGGUGAAUACGUUCCCGGGCCUUGUACACACCGCCCGUCACACCAUGGGAGUGGGUUGCACCAGAAGUAGUUAGCUUAACCUUUCGGGGAGGGCGAUUACCACGGUGUGAUUCAUGACUGGGUUGAAGUCGUAACAAGGUAACC
rnacentral:rRNA from 1 species